rnacentral:rRNA from 1 species
AUUGAACGCUAGCGGGCUGCCUUACACAUGCAAGUCGAACGGAGUGGCGAACGGGUGAGUAAUGUAACGGAACGUGCCCAGUAGCGGGGACUAACUACGCGAAAGAGUAGCUAAUACCGCAUACUAUUGGAGCGGCCGAUACCGGAUUAGCUAGUUGGUGGGGUAACGGCUCACCAGGGCGACGAUCCGUAGCUGGUUUGAGAGGAAGACCAGCCACACUGGGACUGAGACACGGCCCAGACUCCUCCGGGAGGCAGCAGUGGGGAAUUUUGGAAAAUGGGGGAAACCCUGAUCCAGCCAUCCCGCGUGUGCGAUGAAGGCCUUCGGGUUGUAAAGCACUUUUGGCAGGAAAGCGGUACCUGCAGAAUAAGCACCGGCUAACUACGUGCCAGCAGCCGCGGUAAUUC